CGUCGUGCUUGUGUUUUCAUGCUCGAAGUUAGACCUAAUCUACGUGCAGAGCUGAUGAAGACUGUUCUUUCUAGUUCUUACCAUCUGAGGCAUGACAAAAUGCAUCAAGCAGAGUAGCAGAUGAGCGUUUUGCAUGAGCAUGAAGUCAUUGUACCAUAAUUGUUUGUUUGGUGGUGACUAGCAGCCUAAAUUUUGUAAGUUGGGUCUUUGUUGGUCUGUUUUGUUAGUUCCAAUUUGGACAUUCAGGCUGCUAAAGUUUCACAUAUUUGAAAUAUGUAGGACUUCCUUUUGUAAGAACAUAUUAAUUUGCAUUAACAGCAUAUUGUGUGUGAAAUUGGUUGGCGGUUUCAGUUUGCAUUGCCUAUUGAUCUGAUUA